GCAGCAGCCACGGUAAUACGUAGGUGGCAAGCGUUGUCCGGAAUUAUUGGGCGUAAAGGGCUCGCAGGCGGUUUCUUAAGUCUGAUGUGAAAGCCCCCGGCUCAACCGGGGAGGGUCAUUGGAAACUGGGAAACUGGAGUGCAGAAGAGGAGAGUGGAAUUCCACGUGUAGCGGUGAAAUGCGUAGAGAUGUGGAGGAACACCAGUGGCGAAGGCGACUCUCUGGUCUGUAACUGACGCUGAGGAGCGAAAGCGUGGGGAGCGAACAGGAUUAGAGACCCCUGUAGUCCCUGUCUCUUAUAC
rnacentral:rRNA from 1 species